rnacentral:rRNA from 1 species
UACGAAGGGGGCUAGCGUUGUUCGGAUUUACUGGGCGUAAAGCGCACGUAGGCGGAUCGUUAAGUCGGGGGUGAAAUCCUGGAGCUCAACUCCAGAACUGCCUUCGAUACUGGCGAUCUUGAGUCCGGAAGAGGUGAGUGGAACUCCUAGUGUAGAGGUGGAAUUCGUAGAUAUUAGGAAGAACACCGGUGGCGAAGGCGGCCCACUGGGAUCGGUUACUGACGCUGAGGUGCGAAAAGCGUGGGGGGAGCAAAACAGG